GAUCCUGGCUCAGGACGAACGCUGGCGGCGUGCCUAACACAUGCAAGUCGAGCGGGGAACGGACGGUAGCUUGCUACUGUUUGUUUCUAGCGGCGGACGGGUGAGUAACGCGUGAGCAACCUGCCUUUAUCAGGGGGAUAACGCAUCGAAAGAUGUGCUAAUACCGCGUAAGACCACAGCUUCACAUGGAGCGGGGGUCAAAGGAGCAAUCCGGAUAAAGAUGGGCUCGCGUCCGAUUAGCUAGUUGGUGAGAUAACAGCCCACCAAGGCGACGAUCGGUAGCCGACCUGAGAGGGUGAUCGGCCACAUUGGAACUGAGACACGGUCCAGACUCCUACGGGAGGCAGCAGUGGGGAAUAUUGGGCAAUGGGCGAAAGCCUGACCCAGCAACGCCGCGUGAGGGAAGAAGGGUUUCGGCUCGUAAACCUCUGUCCUAUGGGACGAAGGAAGUGACGGUACCAUAGGAGGAAGCCCCGGCUAACUACGUGCCAGCAGCCGCGGUAAUACGUAGGGGGCGAGCGUUGUCCGGAAUGAUUGGGCGUAAAGGGCGCGUAGGCGGCCUGCUAAGUCUGGAGUGAAAGUCCUGCUUUUAAGGUGGGAAUUGCUUUGGAUACUGGUGGGCUGGAGUGCAGGAGAGGAAAGCGGAAUUACCGGUGUAGCGGUGAAAUGCGUAGAGAUCGGGAGGAACACCAGUGGCGAAGGCGGCUUUCUGGACUGAAACUGACGCUGAGGCGCGAAAGCGUGGGGAGCAAACAGGAUUAGAUACCCUGGUAGUCCACGCGGUAAACGAUGAAUGCUAGGUGUAGGAGGUAUCGACCCCUUCUGUGCCGCAGUAAACACAAUAAGCAUUCCGCCUGGGGAGUACGGCCGCAAGGUUGAAACUCAAAGGA
rnacentral:rRNA from 1 species